rnacentral:rRNA from 1 species
CUGCCCCGUGCCGGGGGACAACAGCCGGAAACGGCUGCUAAUACCGCAUGAUCCGGGAGGGCCGCAUGGCCCUGCCGGGAAAGCUCCGGCGGCACGGGAUGGGCCCGCGUCUGAUUAGUUUGUUGGCGGGGUAACGGCCCACCAAGACUGCGAUCAGCAGCCGGCCUGAGAGGGCGGCCGGCCACAUUGGGACUGAGACACGGCCCAGACUCCUGCGGGAGGCAGCAGUGGGGAAUAUUGCACAAUGGGGGAAACCCUGAUGCAGCGACGCCGCGUGGGCGACGAAGCGCUCCGGCGCGUAAAGCCCUGUCAGCAGGGAAGGACAAAGACAGUACCUGACCAAGAAGCCCCGGCUAACUACGUGCCAGCAGCCGCGGUAAUACGUAGGGGGCAAGCGUUAUCCGGAUUCACUGGGCGUAAAGGGAGCGCAGGCGGCACGGCAAGUCUGGUGUGAAAGCCCGGGGCCCAACCCCGGGACUGCAUUGGAAACUGCCGGGCUGGAGUGCCGGAGGGGUAAGCGGAAUUCCUGGUGUAGCGGUGAAAUGCGCAGAUAUCAGGAAGAACACCGGUGGCGCAGGCGGCUUACUGGACGGCAACUGACGCUGAGGCUCGAAAGCGUGGGGAGCAAACAGGAUUAGAUACCCUGGUAGUCCACGCCGUAAACGAUGA